rnacentral:piRNA from 1 species
UAUAGAUCAUUGACCUGCUUUCUGUUGCAA